CCUACGGGGAGCAGCAGUGAGGAAUAUUGGUCAAUGGGCGCAAGCCUGAACCAGCCAAGUCGCGUGAGGGAUGACGGUCCUAUGGAUUGUAAACCUCUUUUGUCGGGGAGCAAGGCCCGCCACGUGUGGCGGGAAGGAUAGUACCCGAAGAAAAAGCAUCGGCUAACUCCGUGCCAGCAGCCGCGGUAAUACGGGGGAUGCGAGCGUUAUCCGGAUUUAUUGGGUUUAAAGGGUGCGUAGGCGGAAGGUUAAGUCAGCGGUAAAAUGUCGGUGCUCAACACCGGCCUGCCGUUGAAACUGGUCUUCUUGAGUGAGCGAGAAGUAUGCGGAAUGCGUGGUGUAGCGGUGAAAUGCAUAGAUAUCACGCAGAACUCCGAUUGCGAAGGCAGCAUACCGGCGCUCAACUGACGCUGAGGCACGAAAGCGUGGGGAUCGAACAGGAUUAGAGACCCGGGUAGUC
rnacentral:rRNA from 1 species